GGGGGCGACAGGUCUCGACGGGGGUUAUGAGGUCCCGGUUGCAUGCCGUGGCGCUGUCACCACGUAAAAAGACGGCAAAAAACACAAAAGCCAACACAGAACUGGCACUCGCAGCUUAAUAAAGCUGUGCGCUUCCCCGGCAACACCUGCUAGCCGGCAAGAGGCGUCAACCAGCAGGCUGGUCUGAAGAGGCCGCCCUUGAUCUUCAGGCGAGAUUAAAAGGGAUUGGAUACGGAAAAGCAUUCUUGCCGGCGUUUCCGUUUCUGAAAUUCAAAAGGUGAGAUAAGCAUGUAGACGCCUGGAAGUAGUACUUCCGGACCCGGGUUCGAUUCCCGGCGCCUCCACCA
rnacentral:tmRNA from 1 species